rnacentral:rRNA from 1 species
UCAAGCUAAUAAGAGCGCAGGGUGGAUGCCUUGGCACUAAGAGCCGAUGAAAGACGUGAUAAGCUGCGAAAAGCUUCGGGGAGGAGCAAAUAUCCUUUGAUCCGGAGAUAUCUGAAUGGGGAAACCCGGCUGAGUAAUCCUCAGUCACUGUAUGGUAAAUACAUAGCCAUACAGAGGGAACCCGGUGAACUGAAACAUCUAAGUAGCCGGAGGAAGAGAAAGAAACAUCGAUUCCGGAAGUAGCGGCGAGCGAACCCGGAAGAGCCCAAACCAGCGUGCGUGCAUGCUGGGGUUAAGGACUGCAUAAGUGAGCCGAUCUGUUAAUGGAACUGCCUGGGAAGGCAGGCCAGAGAGGGUGAAAGCCCCGUACAUGAAAACGGUAGGCAGCGGCAGGAUCCAGAGUACCGCGAGACACGAGAAACCUUGCGGGAAGUCGGAGGGACCACCCUCCAAGGCUAAAUACUCCUUAGUGACCGAUAGCGCAUAGUACUGUGAAGGAAAGGUGAAAAGGACCCCGGGAGGGGAGUGAAAGAGAACCUGAAACCCUGUGUUUACAAGCUGUGGAACAUCUUUAUAUGAUGAACCGCGUACUUUUUGUAGAACGGUCCGGCGAGUUACGCGUGCCGGCAAGGUUAAGCACUUAAGGUGUGGAGCCGAAGAGAAAUCGAGUCUGAACAGGGCGUUCAGUCAGCACGCGUAGACCCGAAACCGGGUGAUCUACCCAUGUCCAGGUUGAAGUUGCCGUAAAAGGCAAUGGAGGACCGAACGCACAUCCGUUGAAAAGGGUGGCGAUGAGGUGUGGGUAGGGGAGAAAUUCCAAUCGAACCCGGAGAUAGCUGGUUCUCCUCGAAAUAGCUUUAGGGCUAGCCUCGAUGGAGUCUUACGGAGGUAGAGCACUGAAUUUCUAAGGGGGCGUCAAAGCUUACCAAGGGAUAUCAAACUCCGAAUGCCGUAAAGAUGCUCAUCGGGAGUCAGACUGCACGAGAUAAGUUGGGCAGUCAAAAGGGAAAGAGCCCAGACCUGCUGCUAAGGUCCCAAAGUACGUGUUAAGUGGAAAAGGAUGUGGGAUUUCGAAGACAACUAGGAUGUUGGCUCAGAAGCAGCCACACAUUCAAAGAGUGCGUAAUAGCUCACUAGUCGAGAGGUCCUGCGCCGAAAAUGUCCGGGGCUGAAACACAACACCGAAGCUUAGGAAUGUAGUAAUACAUUGGUAGAGGAGCAUUCUUAAAGGAAUGAAGCAGUACCGGUAAGGAGCUGUGGACUUUUAAGAAGAGAGAAUGCCGGAAUGAGUAGCGAGAUGGAGGUGGGAAUCCUCCAGGCCGAAUAUCCAAGGUUUCCAGAGUAAAGCUGAUCUGCUCUGGGUAAGUCGGGGCCUAAGGUAAGGCUGAGAAGCGUAGCCGAUGGACAACAGGUUGAGAUUCCUGUACCGCGUAUCAUCAGAACUGUGGGGACACAGAAGGACAGCACAUCCCGGGAAUGGAAAGACCGGGGCAAGCAGGGUAGGAGUUAAGCUGGCAAAUCCGCUUAACAAUCCGAAGCUGUGAUGCGGAGCGAAUUUAAGUAGCGAAGUGUGCGAUUCCGGCUGUCAAGAAAAGCCGCUAUUGUGUGAUACGUGCCCGUACCGUAAACCGACACAGGUAGAUGAGGAGAGAAUCCUAAGGCCGGCGGGAGAAGCAUUGUUAAGGAACUCGGCAAAAUGACCCUGUAACUUCGGGAGAAAGGGUGCCUGGGAAACCAGGCCGCAGAGAAUAGGCUCAAGCAACUGUUUAGCAAAAACACAGGUCUAUGCAAAACCGUAAGGUGAGGUAUAUGGGCUGACGCCUGCCCGGUGCUGGAAGGUUAAGAGGAGGGGUUAGCGCAAGCGAAGCUCUGAAUUGAAGCCCCAGUAAACGGCGGCCGUAACUAUAACGGUCCUAAGGUAGCGAAAUUCCUUGUCGGG